CCUACGGGGGGCUGCAGUGAGGAAUAUUGGUCAAUGGACGAGAGUCUGAACCAGCCAAGUAGCGUGAAGGAUGACUGCCCUAUGGGUUGUAAACUUCUUUUAUAUGGGAAUAAAAUGUUCCACGUGUGGGAUUUUGUAUGUACCAUAUGAAUAAGGAUCGGCUAACUCCGUGCCAGCAGCCGCGGUAAUACGGAGGAUCCGAGCGUUAUCCGGAUUUAUUGGGUUUAAAGGGAGCGUAGGUGGAUUGUUAAGUCAGUUGUGAAAGUUUGCGGCUCAACCGGAAAAUUGCAGUUGAAACUGGCAGUCUUGAGUACAGUAGAGGUGAGCGGAAUUCGUGGUGUAGCGGUGAAAUGCUUAGAGAUCACGAAGAACUCCGAUUGCGAAGGCAGUUCACUGGACUGCAACUGACACUGAGGCUCGAAAGUGUGGGUAUCAAACAGGAUUAGAUACCCGAGUAGUC
rnacentral:rRNA from 1 species